AAAUGUCCCAAGUUAUGCAAACUUGAUAUCGAUUUAUUACCGAUGCCGAAACAUGAAGACGCCUUGUCGGAGCUCUUGUCAUAUCUUCAUGCAAAUCAAACAAAUGAGAUGCUUCAUACCUUGAAGCUUGACUCAUUUAGAGGGUUACCGUGUGAAAUCCUUUUCAUUAAGGGGCUACUUGCUAAUUUUUCAGCACUAGAAAAGGUUGUUAUCGUUCGUCAUCAUCAAAUGUUAUUUCUCACAUGUGAUGAGGUUAAAAUUAUUCAAGAGCUUUUGCAUUUUCCUCGUGCCUUCGCAGAAGCAGAAAUUAUUCUUGUUUAAUGGGUAUGGGUAUGUUUGCAAUAAUCUCAUCCCCAUUUUGUAUUGGUGUAUUUUCAUUUUUCUA